CGCCUAACCUUUAUAGAUUUUCCUAUGAAGCAUGGCCCCAAACCCAUCCCUGAUAUUAAACUCCUCGUCAGACCACUCAGGGAUGGGUCUAUAGCCGAAAGGCUGUAGGAUAGUCGAAAGACUGUC
rnacentral:sRNA from 12 species